AUACGGAGGAUCCGAGCGUUAUCCGGAUUUAUUGGGUUUAAAGGGAGCGUAGGUGGACAGUUAAGUCAGUUGUGAAAGUUUGCGGCUCCACCGUAAAAUUGCAGUUGAUACUGGCUGUCUUGAGUACAGUAGAGGUGGGCGGAAUUCGUGGGGGAGCGGUGAAAUGCUUAGAUAUCACGAAGAACUCCGAUUGCGAAGGCAGCUCACUGGACUGCAACUGACACUGAUGCUCGAAAGUGUGGGUAUCAAACAGGAUUAGAUACCCUGGUAGUCCACACAGUAAACGAUGAAUACUCGCUGUUUGCGAUAUACAGUAAGCGGCCAAGCGAAAGCAUUAAGUAUUCCACCUGGGGAGUACGCCGGCAACGGUGAAACUCAAAUGAAUUGACGGGG
rnacentral:rRNA from 1 species